GCAAAAAUUGUGGGGUUUGGCCUUUAGCUCAUGCUAUGUAAUUCAGCAUUCAAAGGAUUUUGUUUUUGAAGACUUAGUGCGUAUUGAAAGUUUCUUUUUUUUUUUCAGGAAACAAAACAGAAAUCCUAAAUUAAAUGUCAUGUUUCUCCCGGAGCUUGGAAUUAACAGGAACUGCUGUGAACAACUGUUUUUCCAGAUGUAUUUCACUCUGAGCCAUCAGGCUCUGGUUUCGAGUCUGAUGUAUUCACCAACACAGAACACAGGGCUCUCCUACCUUCUGUACAGUGAUGACAUACGUCCAGCGUAGUUGGCAAUUCAAAUACUACUAAUAGCAGGGACCAUAGUAGCCAGAGACAGGGAAGAGAGAAACUCAUUUAGCCCACCCAGCAGUGAAGACUGAUAAAAGGUGGGUAACUAAGGCAAUUUAUGUGGGCCCAGGUGCAGAGAGGUUGGAGGACAAGCAGCUGGCAAGUGAUAGCUGUGACCACAGCAGUGGUUGUUGGAGUGACUCGUUAAUCGAGGAGGGGAAGACGUUGAAGAGCAGAAUUGUGUGUAUACUGACAAUGUUUCCACUGGUGUUAAAUUCCUUAAUCUGAGCUUUUGAGUUUCAGUUUGUGACUGAUGUGCAGUUAAGCCUCUCUCUGGAAGGGUUAAUUAGCCUGUAUGUCCUAUAAGUAAACCUGGAAUGUGCGGUGAUGCCAGUCGAUUGCAAGGAAUCCUCUUUUUAAAAACUCAUUUUCAGCUGUUAGUAGUAGAAAGAAACGACCUCGUGUAACUGUAGGGGUAAUACCAGUGCUAUCUAUAAUCACCCCAGCCCUGCGUGCAGGAAAUGCAGAGGCUGGCUUUGGUCUCAGCAGGCAUCGUGGCCUGUGGGUGACACCUGGUGGCAGGUUCAUUGCUUGCCUGUACUCGUACGCUUGAAAGCAUGCGUGGAUGCAGGCACAAGCGCUGGAGCCUGGCUCUGGAGGCCGGGGAGAAAGUGCCUGCUUUAUCCCUUUUCUUGCUGGCCGCGGAACGCCCCGACAUUGCCAGUGGCUCCCUUGCCUUGAUCAAAAGGAGGGCUUGAAGGCAAUCCGUCAGCCCUUGAUAAGGAUCUGAAGGAUGUUCUAAAGAUUUCAGCCCGUAGUCAAGCGGUGACAUUCAGGAAACCUGUUGUGCUAGGGUUGUAGAGGGAAACAUGAUGGUGAUAAGGCAGCUUCCUGGCAAUAAAUUCACAGCUGACUUGUUAACAAAUGCAUUUCUUUUGGCAUCUGCUUCCCUUUUUAUUUCUUUUCUUCUUUUUUCUUUUUUUUUCUUCUUUUUUCCAGAAUGCCUGGCUCAAGUGGCUGGGAUCCUGAAGGCAGCACAGUUGCUGUUUCUCAGUAUUGCUUAUAACUGCAGAUCUUAAUCACCUCUCAGGUGUAACGAGAAGAGGAUCACUCCCAUUCAGAGGUAGUCUGUACCCCUCUGCGUCAUGCUGUGUUCAAAGUGUACCUUUUUUUUUCAGGUUCCCCAGUCCUUAUUGAAAAUGCCAAGGAAACAGCCAAAUUAAAUAUAUUAGAAAUUAUAUUUGAGCAGAGAAGCUAGACAUGUCCAGCCCAUCACAUUUUGCAUAGAGUAGAAUGAGAAGUAAGAAACUUCCUGCCUUGCUUUGUGUGGUGAGUUGACCCUGGCUGGAGGCCGGGUGCCCACCAAAGUUGCUCUGUCACCCCCCUUCUCAGCUGGACAAGGGGGAGAAAACGUAACAAGAGGCUUGUGGGUUGAGAUAUAAGGACAGGGAGACAUCACUCACCAAUUACUGUCAUGGGCAAAACAGACUUGACUUGGGGAAAUAAAUUUAUUACCAAUCAAAUCUUAAAUAAAUAAAACCAAAUCUUAAAAACACUUAUACCCACCCCUCCCUUCUUCCCAGGUUUAACUUCACUCCUGAUUUCUCUCCUUCCUCCCCCCGCAGCAGCACAGGGGGACAGGGAAUGGGGGUUGUGGUCAGUUCAUCACACGUUGUUUCUGCUGCUCCUUCCUCCUCAGGGGGAGGACUCCUCACACUCUUCCCCCGCUCCAGCAUGGGGUCCCUCCCAUGGGACACAGUCCUCUACGAAUUUCUCCAAUGUGAGUCUUUCCCACAGGCUGCAGUUCUUCAUGAACUGCUCCAGCGUGGGUCUCUCCCAUGGGGUGCAGUCCUUCAGGGGCAGACUGCUCCAGCGUGGGUCCCCUGCGGGGUCACAAGUCCUGUCAGCAAACCUGCUCUGGCGUGGGCUCCUCUCUCCACGGGGCCACAGGUCCUGCCAGGAGCUUGCUCCAUAGGAUCACAGCCUCCUUUGGGUGCAUCCACCUGCUCUGGCGUGGGGUCUUCCAUGGACUGCAGGUGGAAUCUCUGCUCCACCAUCAACCUCCAUGGGCUGCAGGGGGACAGCCUGCCUCACUGUGGUCUUCUCCAAGAGCUGCAGGGGAAUCUCUGCUCCUGCACCUGGAGCACCUCCUCCCCCUCCUCCUUCACUGACCUGGGUGUCUGCAGGGUUGUUCCUCUCACAUACUCUCACUCCUCUCUCUGGCUACAAUUGCUCCUAGUGUGGGUUUGUUUUGUUUUGUUCCCCUUAAGUCUGUUAUCCCAGAGGCGCUACCCCCAUUGCUGAUGGGCUUGGCCUUGGCCAGCGGCGAGUCCUUCUUAGAGCCGGCUGGCAUUGGCUCUGUCGGACGUAGGGGAAGCUUCUAGCAGCUUCUUACAGAAGCCGCCCUAGUAGCCCCCCCUGCUACCAAAACCUUGCCAUGCAAACUCAAUACACUUUGAUAAACUUAUAGAGAGACCAAAAAUAUAAAAUAUAUUGGGUUUGUUGCCAGUAGUAAUUGCCCUUGCAAGGGCUUUUGAGAGACGUGGAAUAGAACACAUCAGAGGUUUUUGUGAUAGUCUUAUUUGUGUGGAGAGGCAAUGGUUCAAACUGUACUGGCUUCGGUUGUAAAAUUGCAUCCAGAAAGCCACUAACAGUCAUUAGCUGUUAAAGCAGCUGUAGUUGUUUUUCAUAUAGGUAGUUAGCAGCUUGCCAGGCAGGUUUGUGCAGUUAGAAAGGAGAGGGGGAACGGCAUGCAGCCUGACCAAUCCUCCACUCUGCUCUUUGGUCUGGUUGGCCCCCGCUCCGGCAGAGGCAGGCGUCUGCUGGAAGGAGCAAAGGACGUGUAAUUUGUGCACACCUGCCUCUUCUCUGCACUUUGAGAGCAUGCUUGCAAGGGGAAUAACAUCAUGGUGGUACGUGGUGCCAUAAAUCACUCAUUUUAAAACCAGUAAAAGCCAAAGCUUCUUAUCUAGAUGAGGUUGUGGUGCCUUGACGGCAUUUUCCCAUGUGAGGCUACUGAGAGAAAGGAAAUGGUGAUUUUUAAUAACUUAACUGUGAUUUAACAAAACGAGAGAGAAGCUCAUCUUCUGUCUCAGAGCUUUCUCCCUCCUGAACUGUUGAAGUCUGCCACAAGCCUCAUGGCUUGUGUUCAAGAACCUCAAAAGAGGAAAAAGAGUAGUUACUGUCCCUAAUAAUGGGCAGGAGCAGCUUUCAGGCAAGGAAUGAGUGAGUGGGCUAGGGCUCCGCCACCAGGAGAGCUGGCAGCAGGGAAUAGUAACUCCCCGCUUCCUCCACUGUAAAAAUUGGGGAACUGAGUAAAACUUGCAGGUGGCAGGUAGAAAACAACGAGGAGAUGCUUCUCUCCACUUAGUUAAAGUGUCAGGGAAGAGUUUUCAAUCUUUGUAUUUUUCCUUUUCAUUUAUCUUCUACGCUUUUGCCACUCAUUUUCUUUGCCUCUCAUGUCUAGUCAGAUCGCAGUAUCUCAGCUCUCUGGACAGGGAUUUUCAGUCUUCAGCUACAUUGUGACUUGUUUGAGGAGACCUAGGUACUCUACAUCCUUUCAACUACACAAACAAAUGGAGGUGGAGGGGGAAAUGGCUCCUGUGGUAAAAUUAAUAAUAGAUAAUUGGCCUAUUUAUGAUAGCUGUCUUUUGCAUGUUGGCAUUUCCAGCGUCUUCCUCUCUCUCAUGUUACUUCUCAAAGAUGAUGGGCUAUGACCAGAUCUUCUCUUGUCAUAUGCAAAGCUUUAAUCUCCUGUGAAGAAGCAUGUCCUGUGGCCAGUGCAGAUCCCAUCAUGGCAUGAAUCUGCUCUUGGUAUCACAACUGAGGCACCAGGAAUUCUCUUCAGUGAAAUGCCAGUGAAAUUAAGGAGCAGUGAACGUACAGCUAUCGCAGCCCAUUGGUACCAAAAAGGCUAUUUGAGAUCCCUCUCAAUUGUCACUGGAUCAUCUAGGUAACAUGGACUGACAGUGACCAAACUACGAGCUCUCUGUACUGGCCUGUUGCAAAGGGAGAUAGUGGUGUACGCAUCUUCGUCGGCUACAGUUUUGGCAAAAACUGCAAAAUGUAUGCACCCUUUACGCCUCAGCUUGAGGGGUUCUAAGGACUGAAUUUACCUGUUGCACCUUAGCCACUGACUACUAAGGUAAUGUAAAGGAAUGUCAAGUUGAAACACUUCACCAACCUGCCUUGUUGAUGCCUGACGUCGUUGUUUAGUACUUUGUGUGUGCUAGACUUACACCUCUGUAAAAGGUUUGUCUGUAAUAGGAUAAAAUAAACUGGAAUCCCUCUAAGGUAAGGGCAUAUUUAAUUUGGGAUUAUAUGCCAUGGGCAAAACUGUCAUGACUUGAGGGAUUUUUACGUGACUGAAUAAACUGUCGAUUAACACAAAUUUUUAAUUGCUGAUUGGAGGGUUGAGAAGAAAGAAAACAAACAAAAAACCCCACUUAGGGAAACCCCAUUCCUCUCCCUUCCCCAAAGUCAACUUCAGCCAAACACCUUCCUGGUCUCCCCUUCCCUUGCUUUUGCCAUGUGUUACCCUCAGCCCCUCAGAGGUGUCCCUGCCCUGGCGGGGGUGGCCAGCGAGCCACGGUCCCUCAGGGAUGUCUCUACCCCCGUGUGG